rnacentral:lncRNA from 1 species
AAUUUUGAAUGCUACAGCAUUCAUGACAUUCUACGUCACAAUGAAAAUGUCCGCAAACGUGUUAAUAAGAAUUUGUUGACUCAUCAAAUAUUACUAUAAUAACACAGGAAAAUUGAUCGGAGCUUGACCCCCGUAUGACCACGAACCGUGAUCGGAGCUAAUGCGAGAAUCGACCUUGAGAGAUCACGUGAGUAUUCGGUAUAAUGAUUUUCGCCAUAUUAACGGAGAUAAUAGGCAUCUAGGGAAAAUGGAUCCCAUCGAAUGCGUGUCGCACGCAAAAUACAUUAAAUUACUAGAUGGUUAUUUUGAAAUGAUAAAGAAGAAUAAGAGUAUGUUUUACAAAUUAUUAUAAAUACAUAUAUAAUUGUAUGUUCAACCUUUUAUACAUGAAAAAACUGAUUUAUCAAAUUUCGAUAUUGAUUGAAAUAAUAUAAAAUAUUAAAUUGAUGUAAAUAUACUUGGAAAUUAUUUAUAAAAUAAAGAAAAUAUUGCGGAAAAAAAGAACGUUUAAUCAAAUCACUUGAACCUUUCGUAAAAGAAUUGUAAAAGGAUUGUAAAA